rnacentral:lncRNA from 1 species
UAUCUUCCCACCUCAGCUUCCCAAUGUGCUGGGAUUACAGUGUCCACCAAAGGAGACAGGGCUGGGAGCGCUGCCCGGGGCCCAGGUCCUCCCUAAUGACAGCAUGCACGAAAGCCCGCUUCUCACAUCUGAUUCCAGGAGAAAGAGCGGCGUGUCCAGCAAGAUAAGUUUAUCCACCAUCUCGGGGAAGGUACAGAAAAACUGUGAGGAUGCCAAAAGGGGAGAAUGAAUAGGAUGAAGAAGGAAAGGACACUCCCGCCUUUCCCUGGGGACCCUGGAGUUCCCCGAAACAUCUUUUAGGCUGGGGGGAGGGUGCUGACCAAGAGGCCAGAGGAGAAUCUUCUAUCUAUGGUGUGCCUUCCCCCACCACCCCUAAGUCUGCACCCAGCACUGAGCUCCAGACCUUGGUGAUGGCUGGACUCCAGGGUGCGGUGGGACCGGGUAUGGGGGCGUGGAAACAUGAACUCUACCAGGAGUCUCCACCGUUUACACCAACUUCCUGGUAUAAGGACUAUCACUGUGACAGGAGGAGGCACUUUCUGUCCCAGGUACCUUCUCCUUCCUCCUUUGUGCUCCCCUCCCCACUCCACCCAAGGGAGCCCCAGUUGGCCAGACAAAGCCAUCUACUCACCAUUCCGCCCACGACGCCACCUGGGGGACAAAAGAGCUGUGGGUGACAUUCCCUCACUCCCUCCCCAGCUGCAUACCCUAAAGCUUCUUCCCACCAGUUGGGGGGGGGGCACCAUAUGGGUGGCUGGGGGCUCAGCAUCUGGGCCAUGAUGUCCCCUUCAUCAGACCUGACCACUCAAAAGACCACAUUUCCCUCAUCCCUGUGUCCCUUGCGGCAGUUGCCUGAGGUCAGAGGGUACAGUGGUCAACCUCUGACUGACCCUCUCAUCUCUCUUUGCAGAUCUCAUAAGUGCAGGGGAAAGGGGUGGGGCAGCAGCUCCUAUCCUUCCCUCCCAGCCCUACUCCGGGCCCGGUCAGCUCCUGGCCACUGUACUCACCGAAGCUGUGGCCCAGAAUGGAGAAUCGAUUCCAUUUCAAGGCUGGAAAUGCAAGGAGCCAGAAGGUCCGGCUGGGCACAGGCUCAGCCCACGAUCUUGCUUCUAGUCCCCAGGCUCAGGAAAUCCCUUCCCAGCAUCUGGGGUGUCCACCCAGGACACUAGCUUGGGGGACCCACUGGAGGAAGCGAACUCUUCAACUUUCCCAAGAUCUCCCGUGAAUUGCUGGCAGACCUGGGGCCAGAGCCCAGGCCCCACUCUCAGGCCAGCGCUGCUUCCUGGAUCCUACCCCGCCUCCAGUGAUAAGAGGGGGUGCCCUAGAGCACCCCCCACACCGCCGAAAAUACACACUCUGUUUCUUACCUGCCACAACUCUUCGGAUCUCACUCACAAAAGUCUGGAGGUAAUAUGGGACACCUGGGCUGUAAUGGGACGAGAGCCCAUGACCUCCGAAAUCCAUGGCAACGUAAUAAAAGUCUGAAACAGAGAGAAGCGGGUUGGAGGGUA